GUCAGGAUGGCCGAGCGGUCUAAGGCGCCAGACUCAAGGUUUCCCUUCUCGCUGAACGCGGGUAUGAGUUGUUCUGGUCCUCUCUGAGGGCGUGGGUUCGAAUCCCACUUCUGACA
rnacentral:tRNA from 1 species